rnacentral:rRNA from 1 species
UCAAGCUAAAAACGGCUGACGGUGGAUACCUAGGCACGCAGAGGCGAAGAAGGACGUGGUGACCGACGAAACGCUCCGGGGAGCAGGAAGCAAGCAAUGAACCGGAGAUAUCCGAAUGGGGCAACCCUUGAAACAGCUGGUUGAAUAGAUAGACCAGCAUGAGCCAACCGGGCGAACUGAAACAUCUUAGUAGCCCGAGGAAGAGAAAGAAAAUCGAUUCCCCUAGUAGCGGCGAGCGAAGCGGGAAGAGCCUAAACCAAAAGGAAUACCUGUUGGGGUAGUGGGACAGCGACAGGGAAUCAAAUAGCUAGACGAAGCAGGUGAAAACUGCACCAGAGAGAGUGAGAGUCUCGUAGUCGAAAGUGAAAGGAUACUAGCUGGAUCCCGAGUAGCAUGGGGCAGGUGAAAUCCCAUGUGAAUCAGCGAGAACCAUCUCGUAAGGCUAAAUACUCAUGCGUGACCGAUAGUGAACGAGUACCGCGAGGGAAAGGUGAAAAGAACCCCGCAAGGGGAGUGAAAGAGAACGUGAAACCGUCAGCUGACAAGCAGUGGAAGGACGAUUAAACGUCUGACCGCGUGCCUGUUGAAGAAUGAGCCGGCGAGUUAUAAGCACUGGUAGGUGAAGGCAGGUAGCCGCAGCCAGAGCGAAAGCGAGUCUGAAAAGGGCGCAAUAAAUCAGUGUUUAUAGACCCGAACCCGGGUGAUCUAACCAUGUCCAGGAUGAAGCUUGGGUAAAGCCAAGUGGAGGUCCGCACCGACCGAUGUUGAAAAAUCGGCGGAUGAGGUGUGGUUAGGGGUGAAAUGCCAAUCGAACCCGGAGCUAGCUGGUUCUCCCCGAAAUGUGUUGAGGCGCAGCGGUUGUGAAUCAAGUUGGGGGGUAAAGCACUGUUUCGGUGCGGGCUGCUAACGCGGUACCAAAUCGAGACAAACUCUGAAUACCCAGUGAAGACACAGCCAGUGAGACGGUGGGGGAUAAGCUUCAUCGUCAAGAGGGAAACAGCCCAGACCACCAGCUAAGGCCCCCAAAUUGUCGCUGAGUGACAAAGGAGGUGGGAGUGCAUUGACAACCAGGAGGUUUGCCUAGAAGCAGCCACCCUUGAAAGAGUGCGUAAUAGCUCACUGGUCAAGCGCUCCUGCGCCGAAAAUUCAUGGGACUAAGUGACAUGCCGAAGCUGUGGGAUAUUGAAGAUAUCGGUAGGGGAGCGUUCCAUAGUGGAGAGAAGCACUAGCGGCAAGCAGGUGUGGACUAUAUGGAAGCGAGAAUGUCGGCUUGAGUAGCGCAAACAUUGGUGAGAAUCCAAUGCCCCGAAACCCUAAGGGUUCCAGAGCAAGGCUCGUCCGCUCUGGGUUAGUCAGGACCUAAGGCGAGGUCGAAAGACGUAGUCGAUGGACAACGGGUUAACAAUCCCGUACUGAGUGUAAGUAGUGCCGAGGGAAGAAGAAGGUUGACACCAGCUGGAUGUUGGUUACCAGUUCAACUGUACGAGGUGGUGAGUGGCGGAGAAAACGCCAGGAGCUGAGGCAGGAGUAGGAGAGUCCAAGGACUCGAAGUGGUGAAGGUCAUGCUUCCAAGAAAAGCUCAUGGCACGUAAACAUACAAUCACCUGUACCCGAAACCGACACAGGUAGGGAGGUUGAGUAAACCAAGGGGCGCGAGAUAACUCUCUCUAAGGAACUCGGCAAAAUGGCCCCGUAACUUCGGGAGAAGGGGUGCCAAAGCAAUUUGGUCGCAGUGAAGAGGCCCAAGCGACUGUUUACCAAAAACACAGGUCUCCGCGAAGUCGUAAGACGAUGUAUGGGGGCUGACGCCUGCCCAGUGCCGGAAGGUUAAGGAAGUUGGUCAGGGGGAAACCCUAAAGCUGACGACCGAAGCCCCGGUGAACGGCGGCCGUAACUAUAACGGUCCUAAGGUAGCGAAAUUCCUUGUCGGGUAAGUUCCGACCCGCACGAAAGGCGUAACGAUUUGGGCGCUGUCUCGGAGAGAGGCUCGGCGAAAUAGGAUUGUCUGUGAAGAUACGGACUACCUGCACCUGGACAGAAAGACCCUAUGAAGCUUUACUGUAGCCUGGAAUAGGGUUCGGGCUUCGCUUGCGCAGGAUAGGUGGGAGGCGUGGAAGUGCCCCUUGUGGGGGGCAAAGAGCCAACGGUGAGAUACCACUCUGGCGAGGCUAGAAUUCUAACUUAUGCCCGUAAACCGGGAAGAGGACGGUUUCAGGUGGGCAGUUUGACUGGGGCGGUCGCCUCCUAAAAGGUAACGGAGGCGCGCAAUGGUUCCCUCAGCCUGGUUGGAAAUCAGGCUUACGAGUGUAAAGGCAAUUGGGAGCUUGACUGCAAGAGUCACAACUCGAGCAGGGACGAAAGUCGGCCUUAGUGAUCCGACGGUGCCGCGUGGAAGGGCCGUCGCUCAACGGAUAAAAGUUACUCUAGGGAUAACAGGCUGAUCUCCCCCAAGAGUCCACAUCGACGGGGAGGUUUGGCACCUCGAUGUCGGCUCAUCGCAACCUGGGGCGGAAGUACGUCCCAAGGGUUGGGCUGUUCGCCCAUUAAAGCGGUACGUGAGCUGGGUUCAGAACGUCGUGAGACAGUUCGGUCCAUAUCCGGUGCAGGCGCAAGAGCAUUGCGAGGAGUCCUCCUUAGUACGAGAGGACCGGGAGGAACGCACCGCUGGUGUACCUGUUAUCGUGCCCACGGUAAACGCAGGGUAGCCAAGUGCGGAGCGGAUAACCGCUGAAAGCAUCUAAGUGGGAAGCCCACCUCAAGAUGAGUGCUCUCAUGGAGUUAAUCCAGUAAGGUCACGGGUAGAACACCCGUUGAUAGGCGUCAGGUGGAAGUGCAGUAAUGUAUGCAGCCCAGGCGUCCUAAUAGACCGAGGGCUUGACCU